GACGAACGCUGGCGGCGUGCUUAACACAUGCAAGUCGAACGGAAAGGCCCUGCUUUUGUGGGGUGCUCGAGUGGCGAACGGGUGAGUAACCCGUGAGUAACCUGCCCUUGACUUUGGGAUAACUUCAGGAAACUGGGGCUAAUACCGGAUAGGAGCUCCUGCUGCAUGGGGGGGGUUGGAAAGUUUCGGCGGUUGUGGAUGGACUGGCGGCUUAUCAGCUUGUUGGUGGGGUAGUGGCUUACCAAGGCUUUGACGGGUAGCCGGCCUGAGAGGGUGACCGGCGACAUUGGGACUGAGAUACGGCCCAGACGCGUACGGGAGGCAGCAGUGGGGAAUAUUGCACAAUGGGCGGAAGCCUGAUGCAGCAACGCCGCGUGCGGGAUGACGGCCUUCGGGUUGUAAACCGCUUUCGCCUGUGACGAAGCGUGAGUGACGGUAAUGGGUAAAGAAGCACCGGCUAACUACGUG
rnacentral:rRNA from 1 species